UACGUAGGGUGCGAGCGUUAAUCGGAAUUACUGGGCGUAAAGCGUGCGCAGGCGGUUCGUUGUGUCGGUGGUGAAAGCCCCGGGCUUAACCUGGGAAUGGCCAUGGAAACUGGCGAACUGGAGUGUGGCAGAGGGGGGUGGAAUUCCGCGUGUAGCAGUGAAAUGCGUAGAGAUGCGGAGGAACACCGAUGGCGAAGGCAGCCCCCUGGGCUAGCACUGACGCUCAGGCACGAAAGCGUGGGGAGCGAACAGG
rnacentral:rRNA from 1 species